rnacentral:lncRNA from 1 species
GGAAGAGGAAGAAUAUGAGAGAGAGAGGGAGGGAGAGAGAGAGAGAGAGAGAAGAAAGACUGAAGGGGGAAAAGUCACCAGCUCACCUACAAAGGCAAAAGCAUCAGCAUUCCUUCAAGCCAAGAAAGCACAAAAUGGAAUUUUUCCAUUGCUGAAACUACUAACUGCCAGCCAAGACUGCUAGAUCCCGCAAAGCUACCAGCAAUCAGGACAUUUCAAGACAAGCACUGCCGGAAGCCGCUCGCCUCCACCUCACCAGAACAGCAGAAGACAUGUAAUAAAAGCUACUGCAGAAAGCGGGAGACAGGAUCAGGAUGAUGUGACCUACAAAGUAAGGCUGUGGCAGCCUCCCCUGUGAAAAUAAUUAUCAGAUCAGACUGACCUAGGGAGAAAACAUCUGUGCGGCCGUGACCAUCCCUGGACGGCAGAGCCUAGAACAUGAUUUCUCCUAGCUGGGGCCUUCCUGCUGCAUGUGGCUUCCCUCACAACCUCUUGCAGACUGAGCAAGCCUGUGUGGGACCCUUUUCCAGGCCCAGCGUCUGCUUUUGUAUUGGGCUCAAAGUUCCUUGUGUAGCUCAGAAAAAAAAUUCUUCUGCACUUCAAUAUUUGAAAAGCCUCCUUUAAGUGGCUGCGGGUGUGGCUGAUGGCGAUGGCGAGGAUGAGCUGUAAGCAUGAGGCCCUGGCGGAGGUCCCCACCAAGACAAAAUCAGGUCAGCCAGCCCACCUCUGGAGUCUCCAGUGCCUUGGGAAAAUGAACGAAGGUGGCGAGUUUAGCAUCUGUAGCCGGUAGAAAAACAAAGUCGUAGCAGUCAGUGUCUGAUACAGCUUUCAGCUUUGCUUUCGCUAUUGAGCGGCCCUGGAACUUUCCGGCUACAUUCCCAGGGGGCUUCCUAAUCGACCCUGCUGAAGGGGGCGUUCUCAGCGGUUCCUUCUCAGCCUUCUGAUCCUCCGUGGGAGGGCUGAUCUCUAUUCAGCUCUUCCUCAUAAUUUAGGCACCAGCAGACCUCGGGUGAGAGCUCACAGGUGCAGGAAGGAGCCACCUACAGCUGCUGAGGAUGCACGACUAGGGCCAGGCUGAUUUCUGGAGGGAUUGGCAGAUGUGGAAGUGGUUAAGGUUGCUUGAACCCAGGAAGAAAGUUCUUAUCCCUGAGACAUCCCUGUGCUAUGCUGUAGCCAGUGUGCUGGCCACUCCAGGGACACAGAAAUCCUUGCCUCCUCGAGCACACUGUGAGCUGGGGAAACAUACUGAGUUCUAUACAUCGACAGGGGGGUUGGAAAGCAUCGAUCUAAAAGGCUGGCAGAAUGGCCAAAGACUAAAGAAAGCAUUAGACGGCGUGCGUGUGGUGCACAGCCACACAUGCCACCAAAUACUCAUUCACAUAAAAAUACGUCUUAUUUUACUUAAAGAAAGAGUGAGAUGGGGCAGAGCGAGAUUUGAGAGGACCUGGAAAGGCUUUUUCUCCCCGGUGGACACCAGCCGGUUGUAAAACAGUAACAUUGUAACAUUGUAGCCUAAGGAGGACAAGGAGAAUCCAGAUUUCAGCACUUUUGGUGCUGGGAUUUAAAAGUGCGCAGCUUACUGGUAAAGAUCAAAGGAAUCACCACAGGGAAGGCAGAAUGGGAGCAGAACCCCUGUCAGUGUGUGGUGGUGGGGGUGAAACUGGACAGUGACCUAAAAGGCAUUUUACAGAUUAAGCCCCUCCCCACCAUCUUUACACCGUUCCUGGUCUGGCUUCCCGGUAGCUCUGUCUGUCUUCAUGACCCUGCCCCCCACUCUGGUAGCUUUCUCACCAGAGCCCCUGAGCUCCUCUUCGCCCACUGCCGUGCCAGAUGAAGGCACAGACACCAGCUCCGAGAUCGCCACCAAGGACUUGAAGGAGAAGAUGUUGUGCAGGAGGCAGAGAAUGAAGAGAUGCCCUUGACAACGGGAAUGCCGGAAAUGGGGAUCAGGAGGCUGGGGUGAGGCAGGUAAGGAAGAGGACAGAGAGGAAGCUGAGGCUGAGGCUGAGGCAGCCACAGGCCAGUGGGCUGCUGAAGAUGACAAGGAUGAUCAUGCUGAUACUGUGGAGCCGGAGAUGGAUGAGGACGAUUGGACAGCAAAGAAGAAAAGGUUAAUCCUAAAAGGCUACCAUGGCCUCUUCACCCUCCACUUCCCAGCUCAGCAUCCCUGUGCAUUCACCUGUGGGUAGCAAGGUUGCCUACAGUGGGCAGUCUCAUGGGAAGAGCACACACACACUACACACACACAUACUGCUGAAAUCAGGAUCGGCUCUGAACCCAGUGACAUCACACCUAGGUGACAGUGACCUGUACAUGUGUGGCCAUGGCGACUGCCAUACAUUCCCCGAAUCCUCUUGGCUCACCUCCCACCUUUACCUGCAAGCGACUACGUCAUCCAAAUAAAAGGAAGACCCCUCUGACCCCUCUCUCCCCUCCCUUCUUCAAUGCCACCUUUGCUCUCUUCCUCCACAAUAAACCUCUGCCAUGUGGAUCUGCUUUGGCCUGGUGUGGUCUGUUCAGACGCAAGCUACACUUCUAACACAACAUA